rnacentral:rRNA from 1 species
UACGUAGGGUGCAAGCGUUGUCCGGAAUUAUUGGGCGUAAAGAGCUCGUAGGCGGUCUGUCGCGUCUGCUGUGAAAACUCAGGGCUCAACCCUGAGCGUGCUUCCGAUACGGGCGGACUAGAGGUAUGCAGGGGAGAACGGAAUUCCUGGUGUAGCGGUGGAAUGCGCAGAUAUCAGGAGGAACACCGGUGGCGAAGGCGGUUCUCUGGGCAUUACCUGACGCUGAGGAGCGAAAGCAUGGGGAGCGAACAGG